rnacentral:rRNA from 1 species
UAGCAUAUCAAUAAGCGGAGGAAAAGAAACCAACAGGGAUUGCCCUACUAACGGCGAGUGAAGCGGCAACAGCUCAAAUUUGAAAUCUGGCUCUCUUUGGGGGUCCGAGUUGUAAUUUGCAGAGGAUGCUUUGGCAUUGGCGGCGGUCUAAGUUCCUUGGAACAGGACAUCGCAGAGGGUGAGAAUCCCGUACGUGGGCGCCUGCCUUUGCCGUGUAAAGCUCCUUCGACGAGUCGAGUUGUUUGGGAAUGCAGCUCUAAAUGGGAGGUAAAUUUCUUCUAAAGCUAAAUACCGGCCAGAGACCGAUAGCGCACAAGUAGAGUGAUCGAAAGAUGAAAAGUACUUUGGAAAGAGAGUCAAAAAGCACGUGAAAUUGUUGAAAGGGAAGCGCUUGCAGCCAGACUUGCCCGCAGUUGCUCACCUAGGCUUUGGCCUGGGGCACUCUUCUGCGGGCAGGCCAGCAUCAGUUUGGGCGGUCGGACAAAGGCCUCUGUCAAGUAUCUCCCUUCGGGGUGACCUUAUAGGGGAGGCGUAAUGCGACCAGCCCGGACUGAGGUCCGCGCAUCUGCUAGGAUGCUGGCGUAAUGGCUGUAAGCGGCCCGUCUUGAAACACGGACCAAGGAGUCUAACAUCUAUGCGAGUGUUUGGGUGUCAAGCCCGGGCGCGCAAUGAAAGUGAACGGAGGUGGGAACCCUUUGGGUGCACCAUCGACCGAUCCUGAUGUCUUCGGAUGGAUUUGAGUAAGAGCAUAGCUGUUGGGACCCGAAAGAUGGUGAACUAUGCUUGAAUAGGGUGAAGCCAGAGGAAACUCUGGUGGAGGCUCGCAGCGGUUCUGACGUGCAAAUCGAUCGUCAAAUUUGGGCACCGGGGCGAAAGACUAAUCGAACCAUCUAGUAGCUGGUUCCUGCA